rnacentral:rRNA from 1 species
UACGUAGGUGGCGAGCGUUAUCCGGAAUUAUUGGGCGUAAAGAGCGCGCGGGUGGUUGAUUAAGUCUGAUGUGAAAGCCCACGGCUUAACCGUGGAGGGUCAUUGGAAACUGGUCGACUUGAGUGCAGAAGAGGGAAGUGGAAUUCCAUGUGUAGCGGUGAAAUGCGUAGAGAUAUGGAGGAACACCAGUGGCGAAGGCGGCUUCCUGGUCUGUAACUGACACUGAGGCGCGAAAGCGUGGGGAGCAAACAGGAUUAGAUACCCU